CACCGAGUUUGCUCGAUUCCGAGUUUGUAUGAGCGAGUUAUGCCCUUUGAAAGUUGGGCAGUUGGCAGGAAGUCCGUCCGGAAAUUUUAAGGGCAUUUUGGUCUUUUCCCUAGCUAUUUCUUUUGGGGUUAUAUUGUUGUGUUAGGCUGAUUUUUGGAUCAUUUUGUCCCAUUUUAAAGAGUGAGAGCUAGGGCUUGAGAGUGAAGAGGAGAAGAAGAGGAGAAAGAGAAGAUCAAGCAAGGA
rnacentral:lncRNA from 1 species